rnacentral:rRNA from 1 species
GACGAACGCUGGCGGCGUGCUUAACACAUGCAAGUCGAGCGGAGCGGCGAACGGGUGAGUAACGCGUGAGUAACUGCCCCCCUCUCUGGGAUAACAGUUGGAAACGGCUGCUAAUACCGGAUAGUGGGGGAUGACUCGCGUGCUGUAGGCUUGUUGGUGGGGUAGUGGCCUACCAAGGCAACGACUGUUACCCGGCCUGGGAGGGCGACCGGCCACAUUGGGCUGAGAUACGGCCCAAACUCGUAUGGGACGCAGCAGUGGGGAAGAUUGCGCAAUGGGGGAAACCAGGAGGAAGCAACGCCGGGUGCGGGAUGACGGCCCUCGGGUUGUAAACCGCUUUCAGCCAUGACGCGGUAGUGGCAGAAGAAGCACAGGCUAACUACGUGCCAGCAGCCGCGGUAAUAC